GAUCAUGGCUCAGGAUGAACGCUAGCGACAGGCUUAACACAUGCAAGUCGAGGGGCAGCAUGAUAAGUAGCAAUACUUAUUGAUGGCGACCGGCGCACGGGUGAGUAACGCGUAUGCAACUUACCUAUCGAGAGGGGGAUAGCCCGGCGAAAGUCGGAUUAAUACUCCAUAAAAACCAGGGGUUCCGCAUGGGACUAUUUGUUAAAGAUUCAUCGCUGAUAGAUAGGC
rnacentral:rRNA from 1 species